rnacentral:lncRNA from 1 species
AGCAUGUAAUUUUUGGUGGUAAAUUGAAAGUUGGAUAUGUUAAAAUGUUAGUUUACUUGAUCUAAACAUCUUUGGUUGGUUGCUAUAAUAAUUUUCAAAACUCUUCCUUACUGUUAGUUUUCACUCAACCACUAACCUUCUAGAUUUAGAAUUUGUUUCAGCAACUUUAGAAUAUUUUUAUAAAAAAAAAUCCAAAACUUGUAUGACUUUCCUCACUUCUUGAACUUGAAUUUAAAGUUUCAUUUGAGUUAGAAAUAUAUUUUAUAAUAGAAUAUAUAAAUGAGUCUUUAGGGGGGCUUCGUUUUCACCCAAUUCUGGAUACCUGAUAACUUUUUGCAAAAAUAAAAUACCAGACGAAUUUUUAAAUUUAAUUCAAUAUUUUUUUCUCAAUUCUAGGCUUCUUAAAAUUGAUAUUAGGCUCAUAAAAUAUUAAAAAGUAUGCAUUUUUUAGGGAGAUAUGUUUUUUCAAAGUCAUAUCUACUGUACAUGUUGAAUUCUAGGCAUCUGCUUAGCUUGAGUGUUUUAAAAAUAUUUUUGAGUAUUAUCCAACCCCGGAUUCAUUUUUUAUGUGAUAUAGACACUUUGAACUAUGUGUGUGAUUUUUUGUAUGAUUUUAUGUGAUCAUUUAUUAUUUUUAAAAUUUCAUUUAUGCAUGUCACUUUUCCUUAUCUAAUCUGGAUUUUGCAAAACCUUUAGGUGUCUUUGCCGUAAUUUGUCCUUUGAAUGAGUGUUUGGCUUUCAGUAUGUCAAUCUAGAUGUGUAGGAGUUGUUUUCUGAAAUUUUUUGUAAUUUAAUUCCACCCUAAGCCAUUUUUUAGAAUUUGUUUUUUUUUGCUUCCUUUGCCAAUUGCAUGAUGUUGAUCUUGUACAUUGCUUGAAUUGGCUAUUUAUUUUUAGAGUCAUUUGACUUAACUUGGCUCAAUUUUGGCUUUGGUACUGUGUAUUAGACAUAAUGAAUAUGUUAUAUAAUUCAUACUUGUCCUAAUCACUCUAGCAUUUUUGGAGGAAUCUUAUAAAUUAUGCAUGUUAUCCAGGUACGCUCUCUAUCACUUACUUUUCGAAAUUUUAUGAACAUGCAUGUUAUUGUGAAUUUCAUUUAUGCUUGAUGUGAUCCUUAGGUGCUUAGAUGUAUGCUUGAUUGCCUUAAUAUAUGUUCGAUCGCUUGAUUUGCCCUUAUUAAAACCAAUGUUGUGUGCUAUAUUUUUGUACUAACUCUAAUGUUUUAUGAUAGCACUUAAGAAGCAGUUCGGGUACGCAUCCUAACUCUCCUUUAUUGUGAUUUGAUCUUGUUUGACAUGCUAUUUUUUGAAAUCACCUUAGUCUACCUAGGUACCCUCAAUUAAUCAAUUGAUUGCCACAUUUCCCUCAACUUAGUCAAUAGAGACCUCUUUAGGGCUUAGAGGGGUGCUACCUCUUAAAGAUAUUUUCCCAAUAGGUAACCUAAUCCUCGGACCCAGAUUUGGGUUUUUCAAAGACAUGUUAUUCCAAAACCAUGGAGUCACUUUUUUUAGGGGUUUUUUUUCUUGUUAUAUUUUCUCUUUAAAAUAAAAAUAAAAUAAGUGGCGACUCCAAUUUUUCCAAAACUAAAUUUUCCACGAAAUAAAAACGAGUCUCACCAAUUGAGUGGGGGCGCACGUGAGAAAUGCGGGUCACAAAUGCCUUUAUUUAGAAUACCUAUUGUUACCAGUUUCCAUCAACAAUGACCCAAUCCAUAGGAAAUAUAUGAUUAGCUUACGAUCUUACUCGUAGAUCAAAGUCAUUGCUAACUUUAGCACAAGCUCAAUAUUCUCUCAAGGUUGAGGAUAACACAAUGAAGCAGCUUAGUGAGGUCAUGACUACUUGAUGGCCUUAAUUCAUGACUCAUCGUAGGUCAUAUCUAAUGUGUAACCAUACACACUAGUGCACUCAGCAUGGGAAAUCCAUCCUGAUAGCCAAGACCAAUCAUCCCUCCAAUUAGGAGAUGGUGAACUACAACCUCUAAUGGGUUACCUAGACCCAUGAAUCGGCUGUGAACAAGUCAUCUAUUUGCAAGGAACCCAUGAUUUAAAUCUUUUAUGCAACUCCUAAUGCACCUAAGUCAUGUACAAUGCAAAAGAUGCAGGCAACAAUGCUCAUAAAGUAUAAUACAUGAAAUAAAGUUAGAUAAAAGUGAAACUAAAACAUCAUUAAAUAAAUAAUGAAUUCCAAUUUUAUCACAUCAUGUCAUGUUUUUAAGGGCUAUAUCCUAAAAAAUAGUGGCUUCUUCAUAAUCCAAUUUUGAAAUAGACUCAACAUCUCAUUAUAGAAAGUCAACUACACUCCUAUAUCUUAUAUAUACUACAUGGAAACACAAUUUUCUAGGUUCACGACCUAUUUUCCACUACAUGCAGGCUCUUUAUAAACUUGCAUCUAUAAUCUAACAAGGUGGAUGUUAUCAACCUUUCAAAAUUACCUCUACAAUCCUUAAGUCUCACAUCCUCUUAUCAUGUGAUCAAUUGACAUACCAACUCACAAAGAGCUUAUGUCAAGCUUCAAUUAAAGAACAACUAUAACCAUAGUUUUCUUAAACACACUUCCUAAGGAUCACCCAAUGGGAAAAAUCAUGGUGCCUAUAUUGAAAAUACCUAUUUCCACCGACUUUCAUUAGUAAUGACUGAUUCCAUAGAGAAUAUAUAAUCACCUUAGGAUCUCACCCAUAGGUUAAAGUCACUAUAAACUUUGGCAUAAGUUCAAUAUUCUCUCAAGGUUGAGAGAUCAUACAAUAUAACAAUUUGGUGAGGUCUUGACUACCUGAUGGUCUUACGUUAUAACUCACCACAGGUCCUACCCAAUGUGUAACCAUACACACUAGAACAUUCAUUAUAGGAAAUUCAUCUUAAUGACCAAAAUUAGUCGUCCCUCCAAUUAGAAGGUAGUGUACUACAACCUUAAAUGAAUUGCCUAAAUUCAUGAACCAACUAUGAAUUAAUCAUCCUCUUUUCAAGGAACCUAUGACUUGAAUCUUUAUUGCAACUCCUAUUACACCCAAAUAAUGUCCAAUGCAAAAUAUCUCAGGCCAGAAUACACAUAAGGUAUAAAACAUGAAACAUAUAGAAUAAAGAGAAAACUAAAAUUUUUAUUAAAUAAAUAAUAAAUCCAUAAAAUGUUACAUCAUGUCAUACUUUUAAGGGUUUUACUAUAAUACUAUAUUUGACUUUACAUGCUCAUCUAAAGGUCAUUUUUCAAUAGCCAUUUUUCUCAGUGAAUAGCAUUGUUGCAUACCUAAUAUCCCCUCCUCCAACAUAGGAGUCCUACUACUUGAACCUAUAAUUUAGCUUUGGUACCAUUUGUUAUGCUAGUGGAAUCUUUAGUACAAACAUGAUAAUAUAAUAACACAAAGGUCAAAGAAUCCACACACAAAGGCAUCUAAAGUUUUAAUGUGGUUUGGCCAACUGUGUCUAUAUUCAUAAAUGAGGGAGAACGUUCUACUAUAUUAUAAAGAAUAUCAUAGAGGAUAAGUCUUGAAACCUCUCACUUUACCAAGUGUCUCACACUCUUCUCACAUGUCUAUCUAUUAUUUAUAAUCUUUAAAAGUCUAUCUCCAUCUCAUAAUUUUUUUUCCCUCAUGACCUAGAAUAUUUAUAUAGAUAUUCAUAGUAGGUUUAUUUAUUCUACAAGGACUCUAAUUACAAUGAAAUAUGAACUUAGAAAAUCAUGCAUGAUAUUUUUUAUAAAAAGAAAUAUAUGUUGGCAUAGAGCCUUAGAACGUAUGACAUGAUAUAACAUAUUAAGAUUCAUUAAUAAGGUUAUUUAUUUAUGUUUUUGGUUCCCUUUAUUAUCUCUUUUGUGUUAAUUAGUUAUUUGAGCAUUCACACCCAUAUCCCUUGUAUUAUACAUGACUUGGGUAGACUAGGAUUCAUAUAAAAUAUCCAAGUCCAUGUUCCUUGCAAGGUGAUAAGUUGUUCAUAAUCGAUUCAUGGAUUUAGUUCAUUCAAUAAAGACUACAGUGCACUACCUUCUAAUAGGAGGGAUAACUUAUCUUAUCCAUCGAGAUGGGUUCCUAUGGUGAAUGCACUAGUGUGUAUAGUUACAUAUUGGACAUGACCUACAGUCAAUCAUAAUGUAAUGUUGUUAGUUUUCAUGAUUCAUUGAGCUACUAUAUUGCAUGGACUUUCAAUCUUGAGAAGAUAUUGAGCCUGUGUUGAACUAUAAUGAGGUUAGAUAUCCCUACAAAUUGGGUCACUAUUGAUGGAGACUGGUAAAAAUAGGUUUUCUCAAUAAAAGCACCAUGAUAUUUCACGGGAUUGGCAUAGUGUGUCCCCUUGGGUGAACCAAAGGACAUGUGAUCUGGAAGACUAUGACCAUAACAAUUCCUUUAAUGGAGUUUGACAUAUAUUCCUUGGAGAUAGAGUAUUUCAAUUGAUCACAUAUUAGGAGGAUUUGUAACCCAAGGAUUGGAAAGGUAAUCUUGAUAGAUUGAUAGCACUAUCUUGAUAAAUUACGGGCGCCAAUUCAAAAGAAGUUUGCAUGCAGUGGAUAGUAGGUCAUGGACUUGAACUUCACCUCUUUGUAAUUUCAUAGGAUACUGGAGUGCGGUUGAUUCUCUUUAGUAGAAUGUUAAAUCAACUUCAAAUUUGGAUUUUAAGAGAACCAAUAUUUUCUUAUGGGUCCCAAUGGUCUUUGCUCGAGAGCCUAAUUCAUGGUGGCAUGUUUUAUUUUAGGGAUUUGGGUUUCUAGUUUAUAAGUGCGCAUAAGGGAGUUUUGGUAAAGCGCAAUGUUGAACUACAUGUUAUGAAUUAUCUUUCUAAACUUGACUAAUUAAUUAAUUAGAACCCAGUAGGGCUAAUUAAUUAAUUAGAAUCUAAGAAUGAUAGAUUAUGUAACUCAAGCUUAAUUUUGGGCUCAAGUCACUUAAGCCCAUAGGGAAGCUUAUAAAUACCUCCUUAAGAGUUAAGACACUAAAUUUUUCUACACUUUGUUUUCCAAAAAGAUUUAAAAAAAAAAAAAAAAAAAAAACCCUAGUCACAUUCAAGGAGGAAGAGAAGCCCACACUUCUCUUGUGUGUCAGGAUUUGUGUGAGUAUAGAUUGGGAAGAAGAAUAUCAAGUAGAUGAGAUCUAGAAUUUUUUUAUGACUUCAACCAUUAGAUUCGAUCUAGGAACAUCCAAAUCGCAAGUAUGCUCACUAUAGCUCUAGAUUUAGAUUCUCAUAUCGUUUUUUAUACUAUGAUUUCCAUUAUAUUGGAUCUAGAGAGACUAAGGAUAGAUUGCAUGCACCCUAUUCAAUUCAAGAACAUAUUAGAGAUUAGCAAUCCAAGUGUAGACCCUCAAUUUUGUCCCUUUAGCACAUGUUUUAAAGUCCAUUACCAAUAUUUUACAGUAAUCUCUUGGUAGCCUAUAGCUACUCACGCUACUUACCUUUCUUGAGCCACCUCGGAGACUUUAGUUGAGGGGUUUACCCGGCUCCACAUUAUGACCUUGGCUGCCCUUCAAGUUUAGAUUAGGCUUCACUUAAGUGCACUUUAGGUUAGACUUAGUUAGGCCUACCUAGUCUCACCCUAGGCCCACUUAGGUCCACCUUGACCCAUUUAGGUCCACCUUGACCCACUUAGAUUCACCUAAGCUCACUUAGGUUCACUUUAACCCACUUAGACUCACCUAAGCUCAUUUAGGCACAUCUAGGCCCACUUUGGUUUGCUAGGUCCACUUAGGCAUCCUAGCCCACCUAUGUUACCUUUUAGAUAACUCCUGUAUGACUUGCAUAGUUCGCAUGAUUUGUAUUUCUUAACACUUGCAUGAGCUUGAUUUCUUAUUCAUUUAUCUAUUUAUUUAUUUAGUUAUUUAUUUAUUAUAUUUGUUUAGCUAUUUGUUUAUUGUUAUCUAUUUAUUUGUUUUUACAAUAUUGCAUGUGAUCAAUUAUCUUAUCUCUUUUUAUGAUUACUAUUAUUCUUACUAUUAAAUGUUUUUACUAAUAUGUACGUUAAUAAAUUUUUUUAGUAAGUUAUUUUGUAUUUUAUUUUAUUUUAUUUGGUUAUUUUCUUAAAGUGCUUUUGAUAUAUUUUUUUUGGUAAGUUAAGUUUUUUAAUAUAUAUAUAUUUGUUUAUACCAAUUUGAUAAGUUAUUAUUAUUAUUAUUACCUUUAAAAAGGUUUGUUAAUAUUUUUAUUUUUAUUUUGAAUUAUGAUGUAUAUAAAAUAGAAAAGCACUUCCCAUAAAAGUUAAAAUACCAUUUUGCAAUUAAAACAUCACUUUCCAUAUAUCCACGUACAUAUCCCAAAAGGAAAUAAAAUAUUCCAUGAAAAGGAUAGGUUGCCAUAUAAAUGAGACAAAAAGGAAUAGAAGAAGGACGGUGGGACUUUUUCUGGGAAAAAUGAGACUUUUUCUUUGAGGGGAGAUCAACACACGCAAGAGUUUUUUUGGAAGAGCGGUAGAAGACUUGAAAGACUAAUUGGGCUGCCAUUUCGACACAUCAAGAGAGUAUUUUUCCGAUACAAUACAGGUUAGUUUUCGAUUUUUGAUACAGUAUUUAUUUUAUUUUUUUAGUUUGGGUUUUAGUUGAUUGGUCUAAUUAAUUGUUUGUGAUAAAUUCUUUUAAAUCUCGAUUUCAAACAAUCUUUUAUUUUUCUUAGAUUAAAUGUCUCUCUUUUAUGAUUGCAAUUCAUUAGUUCUAUGCUAGUUUAUUUUAAU